rnacentral:rRNA from 1 species
CUACACAUGCAGUCGAACGAUGAAGCCCAGCUUGCUGGGUGGAAGAGUGGCGAACGGGUGAGUAACACGUGAGCAACCUGCCCUUCACUCUGGGAUAAGCACUGGAAACGGUGUCUAAUACUGGAUAUGCACAAUGGCCGCAUGGUCUGUUGUGGGAAAGAUUUAUCGGUGAAGGAUGGGCUCGCGGCCUAUCAGCUUGUUGGUGAGGUAGUGGCUCACCAAGGCGACGACGGGUAGCCGGCCUGAGAGGGUGACCGGCCACACUGGGACUGAGACACGGCCCAGACUCCUACGGGAGGCAGCAGUGGGGAAUAUUGCACAAUGGGCGCAAGCCUGAUGCAGCAACGCCGCGUGAGGGAUGACGGCCUUCGGGUUGUAAACCUCUUUUAGUAGGGAAGAAGCGAAAGUGACGGUACCUGCAGAAAAAGCACCGGCUAACUACGUGCCAGCAGCCGCGGUAAUACGUAGGGUGCAAGCGUUGUCCGGAAUUAUUGGGCGUAAAGAGCUCGUAGGCGGCUUGUCGCGUCUGCUGUGAAAACCCGAGGCUCAACCUCGGGCCUGCAGUGGGUACGGGCAGGCUAGAGUGCGGUAGGGGAGAUUGGAAUUCCUGGUGUAGCGGUGGAAUGCGCAGAUAUCAGGAGGAACACCGAUGGCGAAGGCAGAUCUCUGGGCCGUAACUGACGCUGAGGAGCGAAAGCAUGGGGAGCGAACAGGAUUAGAUACCCUGGUAGUCCAUGCCGUAAACGUUGGGAACUAGAUGUAGGGCCUGUUCCACGGGUUCUGUGUCGUAGCUAACGCAUUAAGUUCCCCGCCUGGGGAGUACGGCCGCAAGGCUAAAACUCAAAGGAAUUGACGGGGGCCCGCACAAGCGGCGGAGCAUGCGGAUUAAUUCGAUGCAACGCGAA